GUGUUAUCUUUCUGAGCAUCUUUUUUUAAGGAGUCCACAGGCACACGUCCGGGUUUUUUCAAAGAGAGGGGUUUCUCCUGUAACAAGAAGAAGCAGCAUACAUCAACAAAACGAUCAACUACACAACCUUGGCUUUCUACUUGAGCUACCUUGGCACUAAGCGGUCUGGGCGAAGACGCCGGGAAAGCGCUGCGAUUCAAAUGAGAACCCCAGCAGUCCUGAAGAGCACGAGAAUGGUGAGUCAUUGCUAAUGGUCACAUACACUAGAUUUCCAAUUCACAAUUAUUUUGUUUUGGUACAAUAAAUAUAUUGAGUCUA